AACGAACGCUGGCGGCAGGCUUAACACAUGCAAGUCGAGCGCCUCGCAAGGGGAGCGGCAGACGGGUGAGUAACGCGUGGGAACAUGCCCAAAGGUACGGAACAACUCCGGGAAACUGGAGCUAAUACCGUAUGUGACCGAGAGGUGAAAGAUUUAUCGCCUUUGGAUUGGCCCGCGUUGGAUUAGCUAGUUGGUGGGGUAAAGGCCUACCAAGGCGACGAUCCAUAGCUGGUCUGAGAGGAUGAUCAGCCACACUGGGACUGAGACACGGCCCGACUCCUACGGGAGGCAGCAGUGGGGAAUAUUGGACAAUGGGCGCAAGCCUGAUCCAGCCAUGCCGCGUGUGUGAUGAAGGCCUUAGGGUUGUAAGGCACUUUCGCCAGGGACGAUAAUGACGGUACCUGGAUAAGAAGCCCCGGCUAACUUCGUGCCAGCCGCCGCCGUAAAAC
rnacentral:rRNA from 1 species